UGGAGUUUGUCUGAUCACCUGAUCACUGACAGGAACAUGUGAACCUUAAAGCAGAGAGUUUUGUUUCAGUCAGUAAGAAGAGCGAGUCAUCAUGCACAACAACGAUAAAUCAAGUCUUUGAAGCAAAGAGAAAGCUUCCAUUUGAAACGAGGAGACAUUAGGAAGAGAAGAUGAUGUGCAGGAUCCUGCUGCUCAUCAUCCUCACCUCAGGUGUCUCUGGUUAGUUUACAGCUUCACUUUAUGAACUCCAAAUAAAGCUCAACAACAGAUUUGUUCCAGUUCUCAGUGUGUCUGCUCCUCUCUUUCCCUCUCUGUCUCCUCAACAGGAUCAUUUGUAGUCAAUGUGACACAGACCUCCUAUCAGGCAGAGGAGAACCACAACAUCACACUGGAGUGGACGUUCACCACCAAACCUGACAGAUCCACCAAAACUCUCAACAUCCUCUGUGAACUGUUUAUCAGUAAUAAUAAUGUUUCAGUCUUGUAUCAUGUUCAUGAAGGUGUUGAGGUGUCAGAGUCUCAGGAUGCAAAGUUUUCAGGACGAGUCCAGAGUGACAAAGAUGCCCUCAGAGAAGGACGAAUCAGACUUCAACUGUCCAGACUCAGGACUGAUGACUCGGGUCUGUACCUGUGUGAGGUGAACACUGAUUAUGGCUUCAGUGUUGGAAGAUGUCGACUCAACGUCACUGCUGCUGCUGAGACCAAACAUCAAACACCAACAAUGAACCCACAGACAGAGAGUCGAGGAAGCAUCUGUUGUUUGUUUUUGGGUGGCAUGUACACCUAUGAACCUAUAUAUCUAUCUGCACUGAAGAUAUAUGCUGUAACCUUCAUGUAGACUCUUAAGCACAAGUCGUUUUGCCUUCACCAGGGUUUAUUAAGGUGGUACAGUAACAGGGCAGUUAAUGUAAGGGGAGAGUUCUCCACUGUCCAACUUCCCCAAAGUACACACUCAACGUCUUGGAUACAUGCAGCACAACCAAAACAUUCAAUUUUUUCAAUUCAGUUUUAUUUAUAUAGCGCCAAAUCACAACAGCAGUCGCCUCAAGGUGCUUUAUAUUGUGCAGUAGAUCGUACAAUAAUAAUGCACAAUAAUAAAACAUGUUUCUUUAAAAACAGCAACAAUGCGACAGAAGUAAUAAACACAUCACAAUAAAAUCGCCUUAAAUAUCAUUAAAAUACUAUAUAGUUAUAUAUAAACACAUAUACUAUAAACCUAAACUGGAAUGUUUUCAUAUAUGAGAAUUACCAUGUUAAGCCUGUAACCUAUGUAAUUAGGUCAAGUAUUAUUCACAUGUAUAUCAUAAGAUAAUGCCACUUGCUGUGUGAGCACCUGUUGUUCUGUACUGCUUGUUUAAAGAUUUAAUAAUUAGGAUUAAUGUUUGACUAUUUUGUGACCUAUUGUGAUGAGGCAAAGCAAAGGGUUAGUCAAAGGUUGCCCAUCUGCAGAUGGCCCUUAGCCAGAGUCCUGACCAGCCCCUGGCCGGCUGUUUUUGGCUAGAGGACAAGUGGGAAGUUACCCAGCAGCAGGGGCGGGGUUACUGGCCCCUAUAAAGGGGGGUCAGAGGAGACCGGGGCUCUUCUCUUUCUAUCUGUCUCUGAGUGGCUCUGCUGUCUGUGCUUAUGGCUCUACAUCCUGGGGUUUGCUUUGCUAUGUGUUUUCUUGCUGUUCUGUUUAUGUACUUUCUUGCUUUUCAUAUGAUUCAGUGCAUUAAACUCUGUUCCACAGGAUCUUUGUGAGUGAAUUGAUUUUAAUUUGAUCUAAAAAAAACAAACAAACAAACAAACUUGAUCUCCAUAUCAUUGGUGGGAUAAGGUUAUCACGUUGGCUUCAAAAUUUGUGACCUGACAGAGUGUGUUUCUCAACUCAAACCAAGAAGUCUGUGCUGCAUCUUGUGGUCCAGCUUUGGCCCUUUUCCACUAACAGAAGUCAAAAAGUUGUGGUUUUUCAGUCCUGUUUGAUCAGGUCGACUCCUCAACUGGCUCCCCACAGGGAUUUGCACUCUGGCACUUCUUAUUUAUCCUACACACAAAUAUGUGGCAGGGGGCGGUAACACCACCUUGUACCUGCUUACAGUCAUUGGGUAUUUAUUCGAGAGUAAGGCAUAAGCCGACACAACAGAUCUGUGGUGUGUUUCAUCAAGAAUAAGUAGGACAUGAACUUUGAACUCUCCUGUGUGCAAAGUUUGUAUGAAGUGUGUCAAAUGAGCCGGAGACCAGGUUUGUGUUUCACUCAGCUGAUUUAAAACCUCCUCUCAGGCUCACUGCAUUACAAAAACAAAGAUUACUUUCUGAUUUUAAAUAUCUUCAUGGUUCAUGGAGAAAUCUUGUGUUGAGUUCGAGUCUUUGUCCAGAAUGUUAAUUUGUCUUUAAUGAGUCUACUUCCUGUGAGCUUUGUUAGUCCUGUUAGCUUAGUUUUGAUAUAAAUGUAUGCAUUGUUCUGGGUGUGUGUGACAUUAAUGUAAAUGAUGUUUUUGUGUUGUUUGUAUGCAGUGUGUAAAAAGAAUAAAGUGUGUGAAACCAGAAGAUUGUUAAAUUACCCCAAUUCUUUGAUCUUUAGGCUAAAUUCUCUUUAUUCCAUACAAACACUUUAUACAAAAGCAUUA
rnacentral:lncRNA from 1 species